UUGUCUAAAUUCAUGUUCAUUGUGUUUUACUUUUCAAAGGCUUAAUGGGUGUAACCUCACUGUGAAAUGCUGUGAAGCCUUGGCCUCAGCUUUCAACUCAACCUCAAACCUAAGAGAGCUGGACUUAAGUGACAACAACCUGCAGGAUUCAGGAGUGGAGCUGCUCUGUGCUGUACUGGAGAAUCCACACUGCAAACUGCAGACACUGAGGUUGUCACGCUGUCUGGUCACAAAGAAAGGCUGUGCUUCUCUGGCCUCAGCUCUGAGGUCAAACCCCUCCUACCUGAGAGAGCUGGACCUGAGCUACAAUAUCCCAGGAGAGUCCGGAGCGAAGCAGCUCUCUGUUGGACUGGAGGAUCCACACUAGAGAUUGGAGAAACUCAAUGUGGACCACUGUGGAGAGUACUGGCAGCUGAAAAAAUGUAAUGUUGACUGCUGUGAAGAAAUGUGAAAUGUGUUAUUAGUGAUGAAACAGGAAAUAGCUUAACCUCACUAAGAGUCUUUGUCAAGUUACUCAACUGGUCAAAUUAAAUAUAAGCUACCAUUUUAAGGAAGUAGAAUCAGACACUAUUCCCACUGGGCACUGGGCACAGACAUCAGUUCAACGUCUUGUUUGAUUUAUAUUUGGUUGAGCUACUAACCUGAUUUCAAACUGAAUUCAACAAAAAAUGUCACCCUGUCAUUGGAUUUAGGUUCAAAGUUAGGUGAAAAAAUACAAACUUCCCUUAUGUCGAUGACUUUUUGCAAAUCCUGUGACACUCUGGCUCCAUGGACUUUGAUUAUUGAGCCAGGGUUGUUCAUUUUCAUUUGGGUGUAUUUCUAGGUUGGGUUUUCUAGUUGUUCAGUUCUAUGUUUGGGUGUUUGGUCUUGAUUAGUCAUAUGACUCCCAAUCGGAGGUAACGAGUGUCAGCUGUCGGCUCGUUAUCUCUGAUUG